GGAAUCUUCGGCAAUGGACGAAAGUCUGACCGAGCAACGCCGCGUGAGUGAAGAAGGUUUUCGGAUCGUAAAACUCUGUUGGUAGAGAAGAACGUUGGUGAGAGUGGAAAGCUCAUCAAGUGACGGUAACUACCCAGAAAGGAACGGCUAAAUCGUGCUAG
rnacentral:rRNA from 1 species